UGAAUACGAGACGCUAAGGCGUCGAAGUAGUGUAUGUCAUACUUCCAAGAAAAGCUUGCACUGUCAUAGAUAAAAAACGCCUGUACCAUAACCGACACAGGUGGGUAGGUAGAGUAUACUAAGGGGCGCGAGAUAACUCUCUCUAAGGAACUCGGCAAAAUAACUCCGUAACUUCGGGAGAAGGAGUGCCUUAUUCUUAAGGUUGCAAUAACAAGAUCCAAGCAACUGUUUAUCAAAAACACAGGUCUCCGCUUCGCAAGACGAUGUAUGGGGGCUGACGCCUGCCCAGUGCCAGAAGGUUAAAGAAGUUGGUUAGCAUUAGCGAAGCUGAUAACUGAAGCCCCUUGAACGGCGGCCGUAACAAUAACGGUCCUAAGGUAGCGAAAUUCCUUGUCGGGUAAGUUCCGACCCGCACGAAAGGCGUAAUGAUUUGGAUACUGUCUCGGAGAGGGGCUCGGUGAAAUAGACUUGUCUGUGAAGAUGCGGACUACCUGCACCAGGACAGAAAGACCCUAUGAAGCUUUACUGUAACUUGAAAUUGAAAUUGGACUUUAUUCGCGCAGUAUAGGUGGGAGGCGUUGAUUAUAAUCUUGUGGGAUUAUUGGAGCCAUCAGUGAGAUACCACUCUUGUAGUGUUAGAUUUCUAACUUUGAAUCAUUAUCUGGUCAAAGAACAGUUUCAGGCGGGCAGUUUGACUGGGGCGGUCGCCUCCCAAACGGUAACGGAGGCGUACAAAGGUUUCCUCUGAACGGUUAGAAAUCGUAUCUAGAGUGUAAAGGCAUAAGGAAGCUUGACUGUGAGACCUACAAGUCGAGCAGGGACGAAAGUCGGUCUUAGUGAUCUGACGGUACUGAGUGGAAAGGCCGUCACUCAACGGAUAAAAGUUACUCUAAGGAUAACAGGCUGAUCUCCCCCAAGAGUUCACAUCGACGGGGAGGUUUGGCACCUCGAUGUCGGUUCAUCGCAUCCUGGGGCGGUAGUACGUCCCAAGGGUUGGGCUGUUCGCCCAUGAAAGCGGUACGCGAGCUGGGUUCAGAACGUCGUGAGACAGUUCGGUCCAUAUCCGGUGUAGGCGUUAGAAUAUUGAGAGGAGCCUUCUUUAGUACGAGAGGACCGAGAAGCACAUACCUCUGGUGUACCAGUUAUCGUGCCAACGGUAAACGCUGGGUAGCUAUGUAUGGAGUGGAUAACCGCUGAAAGCAUCUAAGUGGGAAGCCCACCUCAAGAUAAGUAUUCUCAC
rnacentral:rRNA from 1 species